rnacentral:rRNA from 1 species
GAUGAACGCUGGCGGCGUGCCUAAUACAUGCAAGUCGAGCGAACGGACGAGAAGCUUGCUUCUCUGGUGUUAGCGGCGGACGGGUGAGUAACACGUGGAUAACCUACCUAUAAGACUGGGAUAACUUCGGGAUACCGGAGCUAAUACCGGAUAAUAUUUUGAACCGCAUGGUUCAAAAGUGAAAGACGGUCUUGCUGUCACUUAUAGAUGGAUCCGCGCUGCAUUAGCUAGUUGGUAAGGUAACGGCUUACCAAGGCAACGAUGCAUAGCCGACCUGAGAGGGUGAUCGGCCACACUGGAACUGAGACACGGUCCAGACUCCUACGGGAGGCAGCAGUAGGGAAUCUUCCGCAAUGGGCGAAAGCCUGACGGAGCAACGCCGCGUGAGUGAUGAAGGUCUUCGGAUCGUAAAACUCUGUUAUUAGGGAAGAACAUAUGUGUAAGUAACUGUGCACAUCUUGACGGUACCUAAUCAGAAAGCCACGGCUAACUACGUG